rnacentral:rRNA from 1 species
UACGUAGGGCGCAAGCGUUGUCCGGAAUUAUUGGGCGUAAAGAGCUCGUAGGUGGCUUGUCACGUCGGGUGUGAAAGCUUGGGGCUUAACUCCAGGUCUGCAUUCGAUACGGGCUGGCUAGAGGUAGGUAGGGGAGAACGGAAUUCCUGGUGUAGCGGUGAAAUGCGCAGAUAUCAGGAGGAACACCGGUGGCGAAGGCGGUUCUCUGGGCCUUACCUGACGUUGAGGAGCGAAAGCGUGGGGAGCGAACAGG